GAACAUUGUCUGGAGUUCCUCUGAAGUUUCUCUGAACAUUGUCUGGAGUUCCUCUGAACUUUAUCUGGAGUUUCUCUGGAGUUUCUCUGCAGGAUCAUGUGUGAACACAAAUGUCUGUUGUGUUUGGACACAUAAAGUUGAAUUGAAUUGAUGUGUGUGUGACAGAAGCGAGCGCUGAAAGCAGAGAACAACGUCUGUAAACUGAAGGCGGAGCUUCAACAGCUGCAAAUGGAGGUGGAGUCUCUGCGGUCGGAAAACGAUGGUCUGAAGGCAGCAGAGUCUCAGGUCGUCAUGACGAUGAGACAAACUGCUCAGGUGGCGUCUGAGUAUCUGAACAAGAUGGCAAGCCACGCCCACUCGUCCAUCCGUCAGCUGUUGGGAGAGGCGGAGACUCUUCGUCUCGUGUCUCACCUUCUUCGUUCCAUUGAUAAAAUGUCGGAGUGUUGAAGCUGCAAUGGACAUGGUCUGCAGCUUUGAUGACAUCGCAGCAGAUAGCUGAUUGGAUAGAUUCUGAUUCAGUGCAGACUGAAGAUGAUGUCAUGAAGUUUAUUCUUCAAAUAGAAACUUUAUUAAAAACAGUUUGUUUUUCAACGAUG